rnacentral:lncRNA from 1 species
GGUAGUUUUACUCUUAUAAAUAAGUCCUUCUUUAACAGAAGACUAAUCAAACACAAAGACAUAAUAUGGAUGAAUUCGUUUAAAAAAGAAAGUUGAAACGGUUAAUAGUAUGAUUAGGCUAUUCAUCACUGUACCAGAGAAUAACAGGCUGAUUGAGCUAUGGUUGAAACUUGCUGCUGGGUCUAUCUUGCUAGUUUAUGGCUGAUGAUCACAAUGUCAAGUAUCAGGUGACAGUCAACUUCAAAUCAGGUGGAAAUAUUUAAGAAGUCCAAUCGCCGUAAUGAUGAUGAGUUUGAUCAUGAGGUUCUCUACCUGGGGAUGAACAACAUGCCCUUGAGAGAGAGAGAGAGAGAGAGGCCAGUAACCAUUGCAGAGCGGAUGAUCAAGCUGGUGAAGAAAAUUCACCACAAGCCCAAUAGCGCUCUAAUUAACAUGUGCAUCAUUCUGCCAAGGAGUGAGAACAGUUUCAAGAUUGCCGGAAGAGAUGAAGAAAGAAUAGACUUCUGGAAUGGCAAAGCAACCACAACGAAAGUCAUGUAUCGACAAUAAUUGUGAGUAGUAACAAAAGGGCGACCAAACCUAACCUCAAGGUCACCCAAGUCAACCAAACCUAACCUCAAGGUCACCCAAGUUGACCAAACCUAACCUCAAGGUCACCCAAGUUGACCAA